rnacentral:tRNA from 1 species
GGGGGUAUAGCUCAGCUGGGAGAGCGCUUGAAUGGCAUUCAAGAGGUCAGGGGUUCGAUCCCCCUUAUCUCCACCA